UAUGAAAGCCAUAAAGGCCAACAUAUUCGGUUAUAUUUCGAAUAUUUCGCCCGUAAGGGGCAGAAAUAUUAAGGAAAAUAACUGCAAAGCACCUCAAUUUAUUUCAAUAGAAUUUAAGCGAUUUUGUGAAGAAAACAACAUUUGCCACAUUCGCUCAACGUCGUACCACCCGAAGACAAAUGGGGAGGCGGAACGAACCAUUCGAAUCUUAAAAGGGAGGUAUUAUGCCAGUCGAGAAUCAAUUAAUGACCCGCAAGAGGCAAUGACUCAAACGGUAGCAGCGUAUAGGCUGGGAGAACAUAGUUCGACGCGUAAGUCACCAGCGAAGAUUAUGUUCGGUCGUCAAAUAAGAACUAAUCUAGACUGGGCUAGACCAGAGGUGGGAAAGGAGAUUGAUAAAGCCAAUGAUAAACAAAAUCAAGAACGUGAUACACAUUCCAAUUUUAGGGAAUUUGACGUUGGUCAGCAUGUGUGGGUAAGGAAUGAAACCACUAAGGGUUGGAGAGAAGGGGUGAUUCAGGAUAGAAAGGGAUUAUAUUCCUAUGUAGUCAAGACUCAGAUCGUGUAAUACGAGAACAUGCUGACCAGCUAAGGGACCGAUUGAUAUCAGAUACGACGGAGCGCGUGAUAGCUGACGGCGAUCAGAGAGAGUGUGAGACCCCAAGGCGAGGGCGGACACAUAAACCCCCGAAACGAAUGAUUGAAGAGAUACAGACAUCUCUCAAUUAACGUAGGGGGAAAUGUAGUAAAGAAUCCCUCCUAUGAUUGAAUCAAGCCCUACUGGAAAUUAUGAGAUAGAUACAACUCUUGCAGUAAAUGUUAGAUAUUCGUCAUUCUUCAUUUUAAAAGAAUGGCUAAAUAAAUACGAAAUUUCUAAUGCGACAAAUUAUUCAAUACACCGUUCUAAAAAAUCGAAGGACCCAAUACUUAAGUCUACAAUAAUGUACGAACGACUUUAUUACCAAUGUUAUGAGGGCAAGGUCAGACCAUCCAAAUCAAAAGGUUUUAAUUUUUAUUAACCCUUAUCAUGAAUCAAGAAAAUCUACAAUUAUCCAAAGAGAAUCUAGAACUACCCAAAGAAAAUCUACAAUUAUCCAAAGAGAAUAUAGAACUACCCAUACAGGAUCAAUUACAAUUACCUAAA